AUACGUAGGGUGCAAGCGUUAAUCGGAAUUACUGGGCGUAAAGCGUGCGCAGGCGGUUUUGUAAGACAGUGGUGAAAUCCCCGGGCUCAACCUGGGAACUGCCAUCGUGACUGCAAGGCUGGAGUGCGGCAGAGGGGGAUGGAAUUCCGCGUGUAGCAGAGAAAUGCGUAGAUAUGCGGAGGAACACCGAUGGCGAAGGCAAUCCCCUGGGCCUGCACUGACGCUCAUGCACGAAAGCGUGGGGAGCAAACAGGAUUAGAUACCCUGGUAGUCCACGCCCUAAACGAUGUCAACUGGUUGUUGGGGAUUUAUUUUCUCAGUAACGAAGCUAACGCGUGAAGUUGACCGCCUGGGGAGUACGGCCGCAAGGUUAAAACUCAAAUGAAUUGACGGGG
rnacentral:rRNA from 1 species